AACGAACGCUGGCGGCAUGCCUAACACAUGCAAGUCGAACGAGACCUUCGGGUCUAGUGGCGCACGGGUGCGUAACGCGUGGGAACCUGCCCUUAGGUUCGGAAUAACUCCCCGAAAGGGGUGCUAAUAUCGGAUAAUGUCUUCGGACCAAAGAUUUAUCGUCUUUGGAUGGGCCCGCGUUGGAUUAGCUAGUUGGUAGGGUAAAAGCCUACCAAGGCGACGAUCCAUAGCUGGUCUGAGAGGAUGAUCAGCCACACUGGGACUGAGACACGGCCCAGACUCCUACGGGAGGCAGCAGUGGGGAAUAUUGGACAAUGGGCGAAAGCCUGAUCCAGCAAUGCCGCGUGAGUGAUGAAGGCCUUAGGGUUGUAAAGCUCUUUUACCCGGGAUGAUAAUGACAGUACCGGGAGAAUAAGCUCCGGCUAACUCCGUG
rnacentral:rRNA from 1 species